UACGUAGGGUCCGAGCGUUGUCCGGAGUUACUGGGCGUAAAGGGCGCGCAGGCGGCGGUGCUGGCCCGGCGUGAAAGCCCCCCGGCUCAACCGGGGAGGGUCGUCGGGGACCGCACCGCUUGAGGGCGGUAGGGGCCGGUGGAAUGCCUGGUGUAGUGGUGAAAUGCGCAGAUAUCAGGAAGAACACCCGUGGCGAAAGCGGCUCUCUGGGACGGUACUGACGCUGAGACGCGAAAGCGUGGGGAGCGAACAGG
rnacentral:rRNA from 1 species